rnacentral:tRNA from 1 species
GGGGAUAUGGCUCAGUUGGUAGAGUGCUUGCCUCAUAUGCAGAAGGCCCUGGGUUCAAUUCCUAGCACCA